rnacentral:rRNA from 1 species
GAUGAACGCUGACAGAAUGCUUAACACAUGCAGUCACUGAUUGUGGCGGACGGGUGAGUAACGCGUAAAGCACUUGCCUCACAGCUAGGCACAACCUUUGGAAACGACUGCUAAUACCUAAUACUGUGGGAAAGAUUUGCGUCCCAUUAGCUAGUUGGGGAGGUAACGGCUCACCAAGGCGAUGAUGGGUAGCCGGCCUGAGAGGGUGAGCGGCCACAAGCUGACUGAGACACAGCCCUUACUCUUACGGGAGGCAGCAGUGGGGAAUAUUGGACAAUGGACCAAAGUCUGAUCCAGAAAUUCUGUGUGCACGAUGAAGUUUUCGGAAUGUAAAGUGCUUUCAGUUGGGAAGCGGUACCAACAGAAGAAGCGACGGCUAAAUACGUGCCAGCAGCCGCGGUAAUUC